UACGAAGGGUGCAAACGUUGCUCGGAAUUAUUGGGCGUAAAGCGCACGUAGGCGGCUAUCUAAGUCGGAUGUGAAAUCCCUCGGCUUAACCAAGGAAGUGCACCCGAAACUGGAUAGCUUGAGUACAGAAGAGGAUCGCGGAAUUCCCGGUGUAGAGGUGAAAUUCGUAGAUAUCGGGAGGAACACCAGUGGCGAAGGCGGCGAUCUGGGCUGAUACUGACGCUGAGGUGCGAAAGCUAGGGGAGCGAACGGG
rnacentral:rRNA from 1 species